UGUGUGUGUGUGUGUGUGUGUGUGUGUGUGUGUGUGUGUGUGUGUGUGUGUGUGUGUGUGUGUGUGUGUGUGUGCGUUUGUCAAAGUGACAUAUGGGGACAUUUUUAUGAAAUUUCACCUUACAUAUGAGGACCUGUUGAAAUAUGGGGACAUUUUCCAUGUCCCCAUAUUUCCCGCAAUGCUAUCGUGUUCUAGACCCUCCCAGCAUGUUCCCAGACCAAAAAUCUCUGAAGUCUUCAUUUGUCAAAUUUUCAGAAAAAGUGUGUGAAAGUGUGUUUAAUUUUUUUGCUCACCUUCGAUUUUGCCCCUAGUGGCCAUCUUUGCUAUUAUGACACACACACACACACACUUGUCCUCAUAUGUCAUAUGUCCUCAUAUGUCAUGUGGGUCAGAAACUCACACACUACUACAUUUUGAAAAACCUCUAAUCAUUACAGCAAUAAACAUACUUUUGAAAUCUAAAUCAAAUAACACAUUUUCAACUGAUCUGAUGAUCCCAACCUUUUUUAUGUUAGUUUUAUCUAUUCAUUUGGUUUAUCUGGAGAGGAUUUGGGCUAGACAAUUAGUAAUAAAGGGAUUAUGGUGAUGAUUUAAUCGGUUUGAUUCAGUAUUUUACUGUAUUGGGCUUUUUGCUAUUAUGUUGACUAAAAUACAAUGCCGCACAAUAAUUAAUUUAAAUGUGCCUGAAAUGUAGGUUUUUGCAUAAAUGCCUCCCCCCCCCCCCACUCCACCCCCUCCCAAAAAAAAACAAAAAAACAACCCUCAACUUUGAUUGAGACUAAGGCAAUAAUUCAAAUGCAAUUCAAACUACACACAGUAUUUAAUAUUUUCAAAUGGUUACAAUAGCACAUGAUUUUGGUAUUUUUAUCUUUGGGACAAAUUUUGGAUUCAAUUGGCGAUUGUUUUUGGAGGUAUUCAUUUUACAUGGUGUUCAAGAUGGUUACUUCCGCCUACUCUGAAAAGUCUCGGCGUCUGAUUGGUCCAAUUUUCAGUUAGGCGCUGCCUGAUUGGCCGGUGGAUGAUGUCGGAUCCUAACAGAGGGCUAAAUCACUAGUUUAUUAUUUUCCUCAUGGAAGUUAUACAGUUCACGUAUCACACUUAAUAUUGAAUAUAUAUAAAAAGGGUUUUCCAAAAGGACCACUUAUAAGCGAAAUACAAAACUUCACACACGAUUUUGAGCACAACAGGGCGCUCAGUGAACAGCACUUCCGGGACGUGCAUCACCAGAGGGGGACAUCUAUCUUGGCCACAAACCAUCUUUGACAGUCUUCGACAGCAUGGUUGAAUCAGGCGCAUCAACACAUGAUGUAGACAUCGUGUCCAAAAGAAGAGCAAGACGUAAUCCUGAGGCUGAAGCCACCGAGUUUAUGUGAUCUGGAUGUGACAAGUCUUGUUUUAAGGCCCAGUGGAUCAAUGAUUGGAAAGACACCAACUGUUGAUGUUCUAUCUCAACAUUCUCCAGAUUCAUGUGAGCGAUAAACCGACUUCAUCCCUCCAACAGACACCAACUGUUGGGGUUCUAUCUCAACAUUCUCCAGAUUCAGAUGUGAGCGAUAAACCGACUUCAUCCCUCCAACAGAAACCAACUGUUGAGGUUCCAUCUCAACAUUCUCCAGAUUCAGAUGUGAGCCAUUAACUGACUUCAUCCCUCCAACAGAAACCAACUGUUGAGGUUCUAUCUCAAAAUUCUCUAGAUUCAGAUGACAGCCAUAAACCGACUUCAUCCCUCCAACAGAUUGACAGCAGGACAAAUCGCUGGAAGUAGGUAUGUCUCAAGCUUCUUCCACUUGGUCCACUCCAAAGCGGGCUGCAAAGGGGAAGAAGUGGAAGCAGUUGAAUGACACAUGUUGCAUUUUGUAACUGGCAACAAAGUACCAGGUAAAAAAGAUUGUAAAGCCUGCCUCCAUAAAGAACUAGUAGCUCUACAGGACAGAGAUUGGCUUGCCAUCAAGUACUACAUCCAUAACAGAAUUAUAUUAAAAAAAGGGAAAACAAAUGUUUUCCCACAUCUUCUGUGGUAGUUUGAGUAUGUUACCAGCAAUUAAAAAAGCAAAAUAAACAGCAAGCGUUUUGUAUUUAUUCCAGAUAAUUCUUAGCGACAAAAUCCACAAAAACAAUUCAGUUACACUUAGUCGACAAUUACAUUUUUACCCAUGUUUCUUUUAAACUCUUCUUGGUUUUAGAUUACAGUAGCAAGGGAUUGGGAUUUUUUUUUAAAAUGACAACACAUCAACUAAACCAACUCAGGUGGUUUUGUUAAGUCUCUGAUGUCAUUAGCCUCAUAUGUCACAUGAACCUGAAAUCUUUAACACUCUGUGAUGUCAUGGUUGUCAUAUUUCACAAACUUGAAAUCUUAAACACUCUGUGACGUCAUGGUCAUCAUAUGUCACAUAAACUUGAAAUCUUAAACACUCUGUGACGUCAUGGUCAUCAUAUGUCACAUGAACCUGAAAUCUUAAACACUCUGUGACGUCAUGGUCAUCAUAUGUCACAUGAACCUGAAAUCUUAAACACUCUGUGACGUCAUGGUCGUCAUAUGUCACAUAAACUUGAAAUCUUAAACACUCUGGUCUUCAUUUGUCACCUAAACCUGACAAGUCCUCAUAUGUACCAUAAAAAUCAGGUUCAGAAAAAAACAAAAGAGUUGCAAAAAUCUCAAUAGACCACUGUGUUUCUAAAAUUCUGGUUCACUAACCGUCUGAUUCCCAGGCCUGUAGGACCAUUGGAAAGGCAUGUCCCCAUAUGUCACGUUUUUGUCAUAAGUCCUCAUAUGUCACCCAAACACGU